UUUGACAAAAAAUUUCAGCAUUUUUAAAAGUCAGAAACUAUUUUUAAUCAAUUAAAAAUGAAUAAAAAUAACCUAAUUGAACUAAAAUCUCAAAUAAAUCUCAAAUCAAUUAAAAAAUUGAUGAGAAUAUUUUUCAUAGAUCCAUCAUCAUUCAAAUAGGUUAGGAAAAUAUUUUUGUAUUUUUUGAAUAUCAAAAACUAUUUAAAAUGAAUUAAAAAUAACCAGAAAAGAGAAAAUUCACAAAAAAUAUCAAAUGAAAAAAAU
rnacentral:lncRNA from 1 species